GACCUAGCGUCUUAUUUUUGUGUUUAAAAAGAUUUUUCUGACUUGUGUUAUUUUAUCUUGUUUGCUUUUUUGGUGUUUGAAAUCGAGAGGAGAAGAGGCAGGAAAACAGAAGAAAGAAAGAAAUAAAAGUUGUCGCCGAUGGCGAAUCCGACCGCCGGAGAAGAGGCGGACGAGAAAGGUAGAAAAACCAAGUUCUUUGUUGAUUAUUAUUUUUCUUGGUUGAUGAUGGUAGUGGCUUUGUUAUUGACUAGGUUGCUUAAAAUAUGAAAAAUUUGACUGUUUGUUGAAGCUGGACUCGUAAUAUAAAAUUUUGUGAAAACGUUUUUUUGUUUGAAAACCUUGCUCAUUUGAUUAUUUUUAAUGAAAUUCCAGCAAUAAUAUUUGACAGUUGAUCAUAUUUUAGCUCGAUUUUGACGUUAUAUUACGAGUAGUUUUGUAGCUCUUAAGUUAUUGGUGUAAACGGUGUAAGAAUGGUAAUUGGAGGUUGUUUAAUCCACUUUUAAUUUGUUUUCGAGCAGCGUUUCUUGAACGAUAAAGGUUCAUUUUACCCUUAAAUUCAUUGUUUGCUUAAUUUGGCUGUUUAGUUGAUAGUUGCAGUGAAUAUUAUAUUAGAGGCUAUGCAAAUGGGAGUAAGAUAGAAAAUAUAGCAUAACGAGGAUAUUGACAUGUAUUGAAACAGGAUAUGAAUGGUAUGUGAAUGAUUGAGAGUUAGCAAGAGGUUCGUUUGGAAAUACCGACCUUCUUUUAAAGGAAGAAAACUAAUUUUUUGUUUGCUCUUCUUCCUUUACAGUGUGGACGCGAUCUCCUAGCUGUUUGCUCCAUGAUUUUGGGACUUCGGAAACUUUGACGAUGGAUUCUCGAAGCUUCUACUAGAAGCACUUAUGUUCGUAUUUUUAUGUUUUAGUUUGUAGUGGGAUUGGGGUGUAGUUGGAUUACUUGUGGUGAGAUUGGGUUGUAGAGUUUUUCGUUGUAAUUGGUAGAGAACUGUUGUCCUUUCUUGCCGCCUCCACACUCCCCCCUUCUCACGAAAAAAUGGUUGUCCUUUUAAAUAAAAAAGGGAUGCCACCUUCCUUAUUUUCUAACCGAAAUCUAACACCACACUCUGACACAAAAGGGAGGUGGCAGCUCCCUGAUUAGUAACA
rnacentral:lncRNA from 1 species